rnacentral:pre_miRNA from 1 species
UGGGGGAGCGCAGGAUCCUGGGCUGCGUCCCCCGCUCCCUGGGAUCCGGGGCCUGCGCUGCUGGAAUCGCGCUCCCGGGGUAGCGGCUCCCA